rnacentral:rRNA from 1 species
GAUUAAACUAAAGAGUUUGAUCCUGGCUCAGAUUGAACGCUGGCGGCAUGCCUUACACAUGCAAGUCGAACGGUAACGCGGGGCAACCUGGCGACGAGUGGCGAACGGGUGAGUAAUAUAUCGGAACGUG